GGAGUGGAACACCAGUUAAAGUCAUUCUGUGGUAUUGUUUUGGAUUGACUGGAGUGCCAUUUUCUUGUAUUUCUUGUGUUUUUGAGAGUAGUAGUUGCAGUUAAGAGUUAUCAAUGAGGAGCCGAUCACAAGUGUCGAUUGAAGAUGUUCCAGAAUAGAUGAGUCAGCAGCAGCAACAAUUAGAAUUUUGAGAUGUCCAGAUCUUGAAACUGGAUGCUCAAGUCCAUGUACUGGGUGAGUACAAUAAAGACCUUUUAGCUCAAUUGAGGCAGGAGU
rnacentral:lncRNA from 1 species